rnacentral:rRNA from 1 species
GAUGAACGCUAGCGGCAGGCAUAAUACAUGCAAGACGAACGGCAAGUUUGGUAGCAAUACUGAACCUAGAGUGUCGUACGGGUGCGUAACACGUAUGCAACCUACCUUUCACAGGAGUAUAGCUCGGUGAAAACCGAAUUAACCCUCCAUAAUAUCAUUGGAUGGCAUCAUUUGAUGAUUAAAACUGCGGUGGUAAAAGAUGGGCAUGCGUUUGAUUAGUUAGUUGGCAGUGUAACGGACUACCAAGACGAUGAUCAAUAGGGGACCUGAGAGGGUGAUCCCCCACACUGGCACUGAGAUACGGGCCAGACUCCUACGGGAGGCAGCAGUAGGGAAUAUUGGACAAUGGGUGAGAGCCUGAUCCAGCCAUGCCGCGUGCAGGAAGAAGGCGUUAUGCGUUGUAAACUGCUUUUGCCAGGGGAUAAAAAAGGCGUGCGCGCUUAAUUGAAGGUACCUGGUGAAUAAGCCACGGCUAACUACGUGCCAGCCGCCGCCGUAAUAC